GGUUGCGAUCAUACCAGCACUAAUGCACCGGAUCCCAUCAGAACUCUGCAGUUAAGCAUGUUUGGGCGAGAGUAGUACUAGGAUGGGUGACCCCCUGGGAAGUCCUCGUGUUGCAACCC
rnacentral:rRNA from 1 species